GAUGAUAAUGAUAAUAGAUAUGUGUUGCAUAUGAUGUUAAUGAUAAUUGAGAUGUGUUGCAUGUGAUGAUAAUGAUAAUAUAAAUAUGUUGCACAAGAUGUUAAUGAUAAUGUAUGAUGUUGAUGAUAGUCGAGAUAUUGUUGUGUUUGAUGUUGAUGAUGAAUUGAGUGUGAGAAUAUGAUAUGUUAUUGUGCAUGAUGGUGUAGAUAUUGUACUUUAUUCUUCAUGUUAUACCGUUUGUAAUU
rnacentral:lncRNA from 1 species